AAUACAAUUUUAUAUACAAAAGGAAUUGAAACUUAGUAAUUAAAUUCCUAGAAACUUCAAAACAUGAAGAAAGAUUACUAUUCUAUUUACCAUCACAUCUUUUUUCUUUUUCUGCAGGGAAGCAGGGGUCUCAGUGUACUUACCGGUGAGAAGUUCAGCAUGCAGUGAACCUAAGGUCAGAAGAACAUUUUUUCCAGAUGAGAGGAGGUUGUUAAUUGUCUAAUCAUUAUUAUUAUUGAUUUGUGUUACCAUAAGUUCCUGUAUUUAAUUAGUUUCUCCUUUUUUUUUCCCCUAGGAAGAAUCUGUCUGUGUUUACUCCAAUUUUUGUUUUGUGCUAAUCCUCACCAAUACAGUUUUGUUCUGUGGUCAGUUGAGUAGUUGGGCAGCUCUUCUUGUUGCUCACCAAGCCUCAGCCUACUGGGUGAUAUCUACAUACCCUGUGGAAAAUAAUUUCCAUUUUCUCCCUAAGAAACCUCAUGGGUACAGUGCUCAGUACAUCUGAGGUCUCUUAUCUAACUGAAGUCCAAUUCUCACUGUACAGCUUCUACUUCACUAAGCUGUGAAUAUAUUGUUUAUUCAUAAAUAAUGCUCUUGUGUACAUAAUACAUAAACAAUGCUCUUGUGUAGAUAAUACACACCUAAGGCAGGUGUUCCUUCUUAAUAUCUUCAGGAAUUACUGUGUCCAAAACUACACUGGGAUUUACUGCCGGCUCCUUACUUGGACCCAGACCUGCCAUACUUUGAUGGCAUUGUUCCCAUGGGUGAUGGCUGUUCCUGGUCUCUUCUUUGUGCUUCCAGUGCUUCAGCAGCUGAGUAUCUGGUUAGUUUAUUCUCCUACACUCUUGUGAGUAUAGGAGACACUCUGCGAUGACUCCUGAGUUACUUUUCAAUGAUUACAAUGGAGAUUUUUGCCAGUGCAAGCAUUUUUUCUCUGUCUUUUAGAUCUGUGUGCUUACUGUUUUGGACAAUUAAAUUCCUUUGGCUUUCAGGAAUGGCCAUCAGAAGAGACUCUGAGGGCCCUGUAGCUUUGUGAUCAGGCACUGAGGAAGGAUCAUCCAAAAGCAGCUUCUCCUCAUAAUUUUGUUGCCCUUUACCCAGUGCUUUCCUCUGGCAAUGGAGGAAAUUUAAUGGCAAUCCACCAUUAAAUACUGCAGGACCUGCAGGACCCAGGGAACCAUUACCUGAGUGCUGCAAAGAUAUUGUCUGCAUAUCUUCAUGGUUGUACCUUCAUUUCAGGGUGUCCUUUGUAUGGGAGUGCUGUGGCUAAAGGUGACAGUUUUGAGUGGUGAAAGCCAAAAGUGACUUUGUCUUUGGGUUUUUAGCCGUGGUUGGUGUUCAGAUAAUUAAGCAAUUUAACAGUUGAGAGAGAAUAUUGUCUACACUGAAGCAUUACCAAUAUGGCAAAUAGAACACUGUGUUGAGCCAACCUCAGUUAUCUUUUCCUUUUUGAUAUUCCAUACUGAUGGGCUCAGAGGGGCAGCUACCUGCUUGGUGCUGUGCUUUGCCAAAAAAUCCUUUGGAAGAACACAUGCUAAUAAACCCCUGACACUAUGUUGACUUUUCCUGCAGGACUUCACAAAGGUAAAUUUGACUAGUUGUCAAGUGAAAGUAACUCAGUACUUCCAAGAAGCAAAUUCUCUGGUAUCACUUGGGCACUUACUUGUUGCCUGCUGAACGGGGUUACUGGGAGUGGCCAGGGACUCCCCAGCUCUGCUGGACAAGUCACAGCAUUCCUGGGAACACAAGUGUGGUUCUGAAUGCACCCAUAUGUACCAGUGUGCACAAGGCAACACAUUCACAAUCUCCCCGUUCAAACAAAAGUAUAACCAAACUUCCCACAGGGAUCCUCCCACUGGCUUACAUCUCUGAGUUAAGAUGUAACAUCACAUGCCAAAGAGUGUGUUGCUGCCUUGCUCCCUGCUUUGUACAGACAGAUAUGACACUAGACACUGCCUAGUGUAAGUAAGGUAAGUUGCAGCCAUUCAUUAUUUAUCCCUCUCAGUCUCUACAAGGUAAGAUUUCCCUUUGGAUUUUAAACUUAGCUGACCUGUCUGAAGCACUUUGACCUCUCUUGCUGCAGGGCCUGAGUGCUUUUAUGCCUGAAAUGUCACACAACUCACAACCCCGCAUGCCUUGGAGCAGCACAACUGCCCCUCCUGCACUGGCAAAACUGGGAAUGUUGGAUGGUAAGAGCCCUGCCAGACAAGUCCACAAAGUAGAAAGCCGGACUACUGAGAAGAUGUAUGAGCCACAUGUCCUCCUGCUGUGUUCUUUUUCUGCCCUUACAGUUUCAAGAUAUUCUUCAUAAUAAAAUUUAAGGACAAUUAAAUGUCUUUCCAAACAGCAAGAUAUCAGCCAGAGGCAAAGUUCCCUAGUGCCCAGCUCCAGUGUGAGCUUUCAGACUGAGCCUUGUCUUCUCCCUGAAGCUCUGGGUUUCUCCAGUGUCAGAUUAAAAAAAAAAAAAAAAAAAAUUAAGAGUGUUUAGUUCCUAUCAAGAAAGCCAUAUCAUAUUUACACUGUCAGAUGUAUCAGCCAUGACUGAAAAACCGGAAAGUCCUACAGUGAGGGAGCUGACCAGAGCUUUCAACAUGUUAUUUAAUAAUGGGUUUUAUUUGUUUUGUAGAUUUCGGCUACACAGACAAAACACAGCCAGUUAAAAAAAUAAAAUUUUAAAAAGUCUGAAAAA